rnacentral:misc_RNA from 1 species
GAGAGAGAGAGAGAGAGAUGGAGUCGGAGAAAGUGGAAAAAGUGGUACCGGAGGUGGAGGAGCUGCCUAAGGCUAUUGUGCGUAGGGUGGUCAAGGAUAAGCUCUCCCAUUGCUCCACGGACGGCGACCUUAACGUCCACAAAGAUGCUCUCCUUGCUUUCUCCGAGAGCGCAAGAAUCUUCAUUCAUUAUCUUUCGGCUACGGCUAAUGAUAUAUGUAAGGAAUCAAAGAGGCAAACUAUCAAUGCAAAUGAUGUGUUAAAGGCGCUUGAAGAAAUUGAAUUUCCUGAGUUUGUUGGCCCUCUCAAAGCCUCCCUUGAUGGUUGAAUGAUUUGGUGCAAUGCUUUAUCAGUAUGAUACCACUUUCUCUCUUGAAUGUGAGCAGUUUGUAACUGAUGCAUGAGCUGCAAGUCUAAGAUGAGGAGUCAUCUGUUUUCUUAGGUUUCAGUCAAUUUUAAAAGAGGGGAAGAGAUGUAAUGUUGAUUGUGUAGGAAGUUGUUAUUUGUACUCUAAUUGUAUUAGUUGCCUCCAAGGAGGCAGGCUUUCCAGCACUUUUAAAUAAUAUGUGUCACUUUUUGGUCUCGAUGCCUUCUAUUUUAUCUUGAGGAAUCAAUCUCAAUUUCUCCUAUUGUUGUAUAACUUGUAUGGUACAGGGGUUUUCUUAUGUAGUGUUUAAGAAAUAUUUAUUCUAACAAUUAAUAACAUGCUUUCAUUCAGGGUAGCAUAGUAUGCCUUUUCUGAAUUCAUGAUUACCUUAACUGGUUAACUAAAGUUUUUGUUUUAACUUGAGGUCCAUAAUCCAACAUAUGAAUCUUUCAACAUUCAGUAGUUUCUGUGAAUCUUUGGUUAAUCUCUUAGACAUCUUACUGUUUUAUUCGCUUAUAUGGUAUGUUAUGGGAUCUUUUAUCAUAAAAAAAAUGUGGAAUGCCAACAUAAGAUAUAAUCUUUAGUGAUGCAAAAUUCAUGGGUUUUUGGUUUCCUUCUAGAGUUUAAGCAGAAAAAUGUUGGAAAAAAGGCAGGAGCAUCAGAGACAGGAAAGAAGGCGGCAGCAUCAGACAUGGGAAAGAAGGCAGGAGCAUCAGAGACGGG